rnacentral:rRNA from 1 species
AUUGAACGCUGGCGGCAUGCUUUACACAUGCAAGUCGAACGGUAACAGGCCGCAAGGUGCUGACGAGUGGCGAACGGGUGAGUAAUGCAUCGGAACGUGCCCAGUCGUGGGGGAUAACGCAGCGAAAGCUGCGCUAAUACCGCAUACGAUCUAUGGAUGAAAGCGGGGGACCGUAAGGCCUCGCGCGACUGGAGCGGCCGAUGUCAGAUUAGGUAGUUGGUGGGGUAAAGGCUCACUAAGCCAACGAUCUGUAGCUGGUCUGAGAGGACGACCAGCCACACUGGGACUGGGACACGGCCCAGACUCCUACGGGAGGCAGCAGUGGGGAAUUUUGGACAAUGGGCGCAAGCCUGAUCCAGCAAUGCCGCGUGCAGGAAGAAGGCCUUCGGGUUGUAAACUGCUUUUGUACGGAACGAAACGGCUCUCUCUAAUACAGGGGGUUAAUGACGGUACCGUAAGAAUAAGCACCGGCUAACUACGUGCCAGCCGCCGCCGUAACAC